AUCUAGCUGCGGAGUCCAGAAUAGGACAAAACAUGCGUCCUAGAU
rnacentral:hammerhead_ribozyme from 1 species